GACGAACGCUGGCGGCGUGCUUAACACAUGCAAGUCGAACGGAAGGGCCCUGCUUUUGUGGGGUGCUCGAGUGGCGAACGGGUGAGUAACACGUGAGUAACCUGCCCUUGACUUUGGGAUAACUUCAGGAAACUGGGGCUAAUACCGGAUAGGAGCUCCUGCUGCAUGGUGGGGGUUGGAAAGUUUCGGCGGUUGGGGAUGGACUCGCGGCUUAUCAGCUUGUUGGUGGGGUAGUGGCAUACCAAGGCUUUGACGGGUAGCCGGCCUGAGAGGGUGACCGGCCACAUUGGGACUGAGAUACGGCCCAGACUCCUACGGGAGGCAGCAGUGGGGAAUAUUGCACAAUGGGCGGAAGCCUGAUGCAGCAACGCCGCGUGCGGGAUGACGGCCUUCGGGUUGUAAACCGCUUUCGCCUGUGACGAAGCGUGAGUGACGGUAAUGGGUAAAGAAGCACCGGCUAACUACGUG
rnacentral:rRNA from 1 species